UACGUAGGGCGCGAGCGUUGUCCGGAAUUAUUGGGCGUAAAGAGCUCGUAGGCGGUCUGUUGCGUCGGCUGUGAAAACCCGGGGCUCAACCCCGGGCCUGCAGCCGAUACGGGCAGACUAGAGUUCGGCAGGGGAGACUGGAAUUCCUGGUGUAGCGGUGAAAUGCGCAGAUAUCAGGAAGAAUACCCGUGGCUAAGGCGGCUCUCUAGUACGGUACUGACGCUGAGACGCGAAAGCGUGGGGAGCGAACAGG
rnacentral:rRNA from 1 species